rnacentral:misc_RNA from 1 species
GUACACUUUAAAUCUCAGUCACAACUUAAUCAGUGGAGAGAUACCUCUUGAAUUAGGGUCCUUGCAACGCUUAGGAUUCCUGGAUCUAAGCUAUAAUAACCUUACUGGCACCAUCCCAUGCAACUUGUUAAAUUAUACAGAUGAUAGUUUUAUUGGCAAUGUGGGUUUAAGCAUGAACAUAGCAAAUGUUUGCCUUUCACCCCAAAUGAUGGUCAACUCUGCUACCCCAAUAGGCAUCGGCUCUGCAAUCCAAAAAACAAGAAACAAACGGAUGCAUUAUUUAAAGAUCUGUCUUCCCAUGACCUUGUUUCUUGCCUUCUUGAUU